GUUGUAUGGUUAAGUGACUAAGCGUACACGGUGGAUGCCUUGGCAGUCAGAGGCGAUGAAAGACGUAGUAACUUGCGAUAAGCCCAGAUUAGGUAGUAACAACCAUUUGAGUCUGGGAUUUCUGAAUGGGGAAACCCACGUGCAUAAGCACGUAUCCUUACCUGAAUACAUAGGGUAAGGAGGCGAACCGGGGGAACUGAAACAUCUAAGUACCCCGAGGAAAAGAAAUCAACCGAGAUUCCGAAAGUAGCGGCGAGCGAAAUUGGACUAGCCCUUAAGCUUUACACGCGUUAGACGAACGGUCUGGAAAGUCCGACGAUACAGGGUGAUAGUCCCGUAGUUGACGACGUGUGUUCAGUGAAAUCGAGUAGGGCGGGACACGUGAUAUCCUGUCUGAAUAUGGGGGGACCAUCCUCCAAGGCUAAAUACUACUGACUGACCGAUAGUGAACCAGUACCGUGAGGGAAAGGCGAAAAGAACCCCUGUGAGGGGAGUGAAAUAGAACCUGAAACCGUGUACGUACAAGCAGUAGGAGCAGGCUUUGUCCUGUGACUGCGUACCUUUUGUAUAAUGGGUCAGCGACUUAUAUUCAGUGGCAAGGUUAACCAUCUAGGGGAGCCGUAGGGAAACCGAGUCUUAACUGGGCGUUCAGUCUCUGGAUAUAGACCCGAAACCAGGUGAUCUAGCCAUGGGCAGGUUGAAGGUUGAGUAACAUCAACUGGAGGACCGAACCGACUAAUGUUGAAAAAUUAGCGGAUGACUUGUGGCUAGGGGUGAAAGGCCAAUCAAACCUGGAGAUAGCUGGUUCUCCCCGAAAGCUAUUUAGGUAGCGCCUCGGACGAAUACUACUGGGGGUAGAGCACUGUUAAGGCUAGGGGGUCAUCCCGACUUACCAACCCUUUGCAAACUCCGAAUACCAGUAAGUACUAUCCGGGAGACACACGGCGGGUGCUAACGUCCGUCGUGGAGAGGGAAACAACCCAGACCGCCAGCUAAGGUCCCAAAUUACUACUAAGUGGGAAACGAUGUGGGAAGGCUCAGACAGCCAGGAUGUUGGCUUAGAAGCAGCCAUCAUUUAAAGAAAGCGUAAUAGCUCACUGGUCGAGUCGGCCUGCGCGGAAGAUGUAACGGGGCUAAGUAGUAAACCGAAGCUGCGGCAAUAUACUUUUGUAUAUUGGGUAGGGGAGCGUUCUGUAAGCGGUUGAAGGUGUGUGGUAACGCAUGCUGGACGUAUCAGAAGUGCGAAUGCUGACAUGAGUAACGAUAAAGGGGGUGAAAAACCUCCUCGCCGGAAGACCAAGGGUUCCUGUCCAACGUUAAUCGGGGCAGGGUAAGUCGACCCCUAAGGCGAGGCCGAAAGGCGUAGUCGAUGGGAAACGGGUUAAUAUUCCCGUACUUCUUACAAUUGCGAUGGGGGGACGGAGAAGGCUAGGUGGGCCUGGCGACGGUUGUCCAGGUUCAAGUGCGUAGGCUUAAGAGUUAGGUAAAUCCGGCUCUUUUUAAGGCUGAGACACGACGUCGAGCACCUACGGGUGUGAAGUCAUUGAUGCCAUGCUUCCAGGAAAAGCCUCUAAGCUUCAGAUUGUAAGGAAUCGUACCCCAAACCGACACAGGUGGUCGGGUAGAGAAUACCAAGGCGCUUGAGAGAACUCGGGUGAAGGAACUAGGCAAAAUGGUACCGUAACUUCGGGAGAAGGUACGCUCUCGACGGUGAAGUCCCUCGCGGAUGGAGCUAUUGAGAGUCGCAGAUACCAGGUGGCUGCAACUGUUUAUUAAAAACACAGCACUGUGCAAAAUCGUAAGAUGACGUAUACGGUGUGACGCCUGCCCGGUGCCGGAAGGUUAAUUGAUGGGGUUAGACUUCGGUCGAAGCUCUUGAUCGAAGCCCCGGUAAACGGCGGCCGUAACUAUAACGGUCCUAAGGUAGCGAAAUUCCUUGUCGGGUAAGUUCCGACCUGCACGAAUGGCGUAAUGAUGGCCACGCUGUCUCCACCCGAGACUCAGUGAAAUUGAAAUCGCUGUGAAGAUGCAGUGUACCCGCGGCUAGACGGAAAGACCCCGUGAACCUUUACUACAGCUUGGCACUGAACAUUGACCCUACAUGUGUAGGAUAGGUGGGAGGCUUUGAAGACGGUACGCCAGUAUCGUUGGAGCCGUCCUUGAAAUACCACCCUUGUAGUGUUGAUGUUCUAACGUCGACCCCUUAUCGGGGUUGCGGACAGUGCCUGGUGGGUAGUUUGACUGGGGCGGUCUCCUCCCAAAGAGUAACGGAGGAGCACGAAGGUGGGCUAAUCACGGUUGGACAUCGUGAGGUUAGUGCAAUGGCAUAAGCCCGCUUGACUGCGAGAAUGACAAUUCGAGCAGGUGCGAAAGCAGGUCAUAGUGAUCCGGUGGUUCUGAAUGGAAGGGCCAUCGCUCAACGGAUAAAAGGUACUCCGGGGAUAACAGGCUGAUACCGCCCAAGAGUUCAUAUCGACGGCGGUGUUUGGCACCUCGAUGUCGGCUCAUCACAUCCUGGGGCUGAAGUCGGUCCCAAGGGUAUGGCUGUUCGCCAUUUAAAGUGGUACGCGAGCUGGGUUUAGAACGUCGUGAGACAGUUCGGUCCCUAUCUGCCGUGGGCGUUGGAAGAUUGAAGGGGGCUGCUCCUAGUACGAGAGGACCGGAGUGGACGAACCUCUGGUGUUCGGGUUGUGUCGCCAGACGCAUUGCCCGGUAGCUAAGUUCGGAAUCGAUAACCGCUGAAAGCAUCUAAGCGGGAAGCGAGCCCUGAGAUGAGUCUUCCCUGAUACUUUAAGUAUCCUAAAGGGUUGUCGGAGACUACGACGUUGAUAGGUCAGGUGUGUAAGUGCUGUGAGGCAUUGAGCUAACUGAUACUAAUUGCCCGUGAGGCUUAACCAUACAACACCCAAGGGGUUU
rnacentral:rRNA from 1 species